rnacentral:rRNA from 1 species
CAGCAGCCGCGGUAAUACGAAGGGUGCAAGCGUUACUCGGAAUUACUGGGCGUAAAGCGUGCGUAGGUGGUGGUUUAAGUCCGUUGUGAAAGCCCUGGGCUCAACCUGGGAAUUGCAGUGGAUACUGGGUCACUAGAGUGUGGUAGAGGAUAGUGGAAUUUCCGGUGUAGCAGUGAAAUGCGUAGAGAUCGGAAGGAACAUCUGUGGCGAAGGCGACUAUCUGGGCCAACACUGACACUGAGGCACGAAAGCGUGGGGAGCAAACUGGAUUAGAUACCCCCGUAGUCCCUGUCUCUUAUAC